ensembl:lncRNA
GUCAAGGUAAGAAACAUCUGCCUAGUUGAGGUGAUUGACACUGGCAAAGGAAAAUCAUCAAGUCGAGUUAAUUUGUGUUUCAACCCACAAUGACUUCUCCACAAUGGAGGAGAAGAGAUCAAUUUAGUCCCAGAUGUACAACGCCAUUUUCAAGACGGACAUUUCAAGAAAAGCGAGACAUCGAGAGAAGAGAUCGACACAGGUGGUAUUCCUUCGGGUGGGACUGUGGAGGACAUCCCUGAAGGCCUGGGGGUUUAAACAAAAGGGCUUUAAUGCAGACGGUUCAUAUAAGACGGAGGAUGUGCCUCGUCUACUCACUGCGGGGCCUGCUGGUCGAAUACGAGGCAGAUGGACAAAGGCGCAUUGAAGGGCUGAGCCUGCAGACUUCAUGGCACGCUGUUUGAUUAUUAUAUGACGUCUGAGUAGAGAAUAAACUCUAAAGAUAAACUUUGUUCAACGGUUCUUUACUCCAAUGUUCUAGGACUCGCUGUAAUAAUGUACUUUUGUCUUUUUUUCAAAAAAUGCAGUCCAGUGGUAUCCAAAGUAACCG